rnacentral:rRNA from 1 species
AAUCAACGCUGGCGGCGUGCCUCAGACAUGCAAGUCGAACGAUUAAGACUUCCUUCGGGAAGUGCAUAAAGUGGCGCACGGGUGAGUAACACGUAAGUAAUCUACCCUCGAGUGGGGAAUAACGUCCGGAAACGGACGCUAAUACCGCAUAAUGCAGCGGCACCGCAAGGUGACAGUUGUUAAAGAUUUAUCGCUUGAGGAGGAGCUUGCGGCAGAUUAGCUAGUUGGUAAGGUAAUGGCUUACCAAGGCUACGAUCUGUAACCGGUCUAAGAGGACGGUCGGUCACACUGACACUGAAUAACGGGUCAGACUCCUACGGGAGGCAGCAGUCGGGAAUUUUGGGCAAUGGGCGAAAGCCUGACCCAGCAACGCCGCGUGAAGGAUGAAGUAUUUCGGUAUGUAAACUUCGAAAGAAUAGGAAGAAUAAAUGACGGUACUAUUUAUAAGGUCCGGCUAACUUCGUGCCAGCCGCCGCCGUAA